rnacentral:lncRNA from 1 species
GUUAUGUGGAGCUGAAAUGAAGCCGGACAGAGGGGCUGACUCUGUGGGGAUACGCUGGGGGCCGACUUCUGCUGCACAUGCGGGGGUUUUGCUGAGGCAGAGGAAAGUACUGGAGUUUUUAAGGGCACGGCAGAACUUUCGGGGCUUGGCAGGUGAUUUGUGCAACCACAAGCCCAUUCACAGAGUAAACAGCGCAUGA